UACGUAGGGGGCAAGCGUUGUCCGGAAUCAUUGGGCGUAAAGCGCGCGUAGGCGGCCCGAUAAGUCCGCUGUGAAAGUCAAAGGCUCAACCUUUGAAUGCCGGUGGAUACUGUCGGGCUAGAGUCCGGAAGAGGCGAGUGGAAUUCCUGGUGUAGCGGUGGAAUGCGCAGAUAUCAGGAGGAACACCAAUAGCGAAGGCAGCUCGCUGGGACGGUACUGACGCUAAGGCGCGAAAAGCGUGGGGGAGCGAACAGG
rnacentral:rRNA from 1 species